rnacentral:lncRNA from 1 species
UACUCCACUUCACUCCAGUCUUGGCGCUAUUUACUCCCGGCCUCUGCCGCCGCGCGUCGAAUCUAUCCACCGCGCAGCCCAGGGACGAGGCCUCGCGAAUAAAAGGCGCGAGACCUCCGUCCCCCCCUCACCGGUUAAGCCAACUCCACCCACCGAGCCAAAGCCUCCACCCGUCCACCGCGCGUGAUGUCGUCGUCCCCUUUCCCGUCGGCUCCCCCGCCGCGGCACGCCGACGACACAGGCACCUCCGUGCUCUCCUGCAUCCUCAUCAUCGUCGGCCUCCUCGCCUUCGUCCUCGUCGCCUCCCUCUCCAUCAGCGCCUGCCUCCGCCACCGCUCCAACCGCUCGCGCCCGUCUCCCUCUCCCCCGCCCUCGCCGCCGCACGGGACGGACGACGGGNNNN